UACAGAGGGGGCAAGCGUUGUUCGGAAUUACUGGGCGUAAAGGGCGCGUAGGCGGCCCGCUAAGUCGAACGUGAAAUCCCCGGGCUCAACCCGGGAACUGCGUCCGAUACUGGCAGGCUUGAAUCCGGGAGAGGGAUGCGGAAUUCCAGGUGUAGCGGUGAAAUGCGUAGAUAUCGGAAGGAACAUCAGUGGCGAAAGCGGCUUCCUGGUCCAGCACCGACGUCAGGCACGAAAGCGUGGGGAGCAAACAGGG
rnacentral:rRNA from 1 species